rnacentral:rRNA from 1 species
AACGCUGGCGGCGUGCUUAACACAUGCAAGUCGAACGGUAAGGCCCUUCGGGGUACACGAGUGGCGAACGGGUGAGUAACACGUGGGUGAUCUGCCCUGCACUUCGGGAUAAGCCUGGGAAACUGGGUCUAAUACCGGAUAGGACUCCUGGCUUCAUGGUUGGGGGUGUAAAGCUUUUGCGGUGUGGGAUGGGCCCGCGGCCUAUCAGCUUGUUGGUGGGGUAAUGGCCUACCAAGGCGACGACGGGUAGCCGGCCUGAGAGGGUGACCGGCCACACUGGGACUGAGAUACGGCCCAGACUCCUACGGGAGGCAGCAGUGGGGAAUAUUGCACAAUGGGCGCAAGCCUGAUGCAGCGACGCCGCGUGAGGGAUGACGGCCUUCGGGUUGUAAACCUCUUUCAAUAGGGACGAAGCGCAAGUGACGGUACCUAUAGAAGAAGGACCGGCCAACUACGUG